rnacentral:lncRNA from 1 species
GGGCAGAUGAGUAUCUGAUCCUAAAUGGGGAGAAAAUAUUGAAAUGCACAAAUAUGUGGAAUUUCAAGAAGUUAUCUACAUAGAAGAACUUUGACAAAUUGAAGAAGUGAGACUAGCAAUUUAUUAACGGGAGGAAGAAGAUGAGAAUGUGUAGGUUCAGUUAGCACUGUCCAGUACAUGCACUUAAGGUCGGAAAGAACAAAGUAAACAUCUGGCUGUGGUGAACUCAUGCUCAGGAGCAAUGACUUGAAAUUUACUCACACUGUUGAAUAUCAGUGGAACUUUGUGCUACACUCUACAGCUGAGUUGCAAUACUCUUGGAACAAAUGCUGAACUUGUAAGAAAAUGGAAGAGAGAAACCAG